rnacentral:rRNA from 1 species
UACAGAGGUCCCAAGCGUUGUUCGGAUUCAUUGGGCGUAAAGGGUGCGUAGGCGGCGCGGUAAGUCGGGUGUGAAAUCUCGGAGCUUAACUCCGAAACUGCAUUCGAUACUGCCGUGCUUGAGGACUGGAGAGGAGACUGGAAUUUACGGUGUAGCGGUGAAACGCGUAGAUAUCGUAAGGAAGACCAGUGGCGAAGGCGGGUCUCUGGACAGUUCCUGACGCUGAGGCACGAGGGCCAGGGGAGCAAACGGG